rnacentral:rRNA from 1 species
CCUACGGGAGGCAGCAGUGGGGAAUAUUGGACAAUGGGGGAAACCCUGAUCCAGCGACGCCGCGUGGGUGAAGAAGGCCUGCGGGUUGUAAAGCCCUUUCGGUAGGGACGAAAGCUCUUGCUCCAACAAAGCAGGAGGUUGACUUAACCUACAUAAGAAGCACCGGCUAACUCUGUGCCAGCAGCCGCGGUAAUACGUAGGUGGCAAGCGUUGUCCGGAAUUAUUGGGCGUAAAGCGCGCGCAGGCGGUUUCUUAAGUCUGAUGUGAAAGCCCCCGGCUCAACCGGGGAGGGUCAUUGGAAACUGGGAAACUUGAGUGCAGAAGAGGAAAGUGGAAUUCCAAGUGUAGCGGUGAAAUGCGUAGAGAUUUGGAGGAACACCAGUGGCGAAGGCGACUUUCUGGUCUGUAACUGACGCUGAGGCGCGAAAGCGUGGGGAGCAAACAGGAUUAGAUACCCUGGUAGUCCACGCUGUAAACGAUGAGUGCUAAGUGUUAGAGGGUUUCCGCCCUUUAGUGCUGAAGUUAACGCAUUAAGCACUCCGCCUGGGGAGUACGGUCGCAAGACUGAAACUUAAAGGAAUGAC